AACUUGCAUGAUUUACACAUGAUUUCUAAUAUGAAUAUGUUACCGUUUAUUUUAAGUUGCAUGUGGGACAAGUCUUUUACUCGAUAUAAUACCGAAAUAGUUAUUUGAGAUGAAUAUCGUGAUUUUAAGUAUUCUCACUGUCACUAUAUAUGUUGUACCGUUACUUGAAUUUACUCUUAUCAAAAAGAAAUUAUAUGAUUUGAUAAGAACCGAAAGGCCCUAUAUUGUUUUGAAAUAUUUUCUACGAGUAUAUAGGGAUUGCAGAGACAAGUAUAAAUGGGAGUAGACUUUGAAGGAUCCCAUAGCUAACGGCGGGUUCGUUAGACCUGAUGCACCUUACCGAUUUCCCUCGAGCAGGGACUACCGUUAUAUUCUUCUUGCGAAGAAGUCCACAGUUAUACCGAUUACAUGAUCCGUUUAUUGAAACCUCCCAAACAAAUGUGAAUACUGAUAUUAUACAGUGGUUACCGAGCUUAUUACUGAAUUGUAUUUGUAUUAUACUACAAGAAAAGUAUGAUGAGGCUGAAAAUUAUUUAUUGUUUUUGAAAGGGCAUUUUUAUAUUGUUUUUUGUUUGAUAUACUAGCAUAUUUUCUGACUUGUUCCCAAAUUAAAACGAUUGUGAUUAAGUGUUAUUACUCAC
rnacentral:lncRNA from 1 species